rnacentral:pre_miRNA from 1 species
AAUUUCAACUGAAAAAGUCAUCAACAACAAAGUUGUAUAACUCAUCAAGAUCUAUAAAUUUUAUUUUAAUCAUUUCUUCAUCCAACAAAGUUAUUUGUAAGAUUGUUCACAAAAUAAACAUCUCUUAUAUAGUUUUUAUAAAACUAUAUAAGAGAUGUACAUUUUGUGAACAAUCUUAAAAAUAACUUUGUGGGAUGAAGAAAUGAUUAAAAUAAAAUUUAUAGAUCUUGAUGAGUUAUACAAUUUGUUGUUGAUGACUUUUUCAGUUGAAAUC